UACGUAGGGGGCUAGCGUUGUCCGGAUUUAUUGGGCGUAAAGCGCGUGUAGGCGGCCAGAUAGGUCUGCUGUGAAAACUCGAGGCUCAACCUCGAGCUGCCGGCGGAAACCAUCCGGCUAGAGUCCGGAAGAGGAGAGUGGAAUUCCUGGUGUAGCGGUGAAAUGCGCAGAUAUCAGGAAGAACACCCGUGGCGAAGGCGGCUCUCUGGGACGGUACUGACGCUGAGACGCGAAAGCGUGGGGAGCGAACAGG
rnacentral:rRNA from 1 species